GGGCUGGCAGAGGCCGGACACACGUCCGCGCAGCGAGGCGACGA
rnacentral:sRNA from 1 species